rnacentral:rRNA from 1 species
AUGGCCGCCGCCGCUCACCUCCGUCGUGCCGCCGCCGCUGCCCGCUCAGCCGGACAGGCCGCCACCGCCCCAGCCCGCCACCACCACUCGGCUGGACAAGCCACCGCCGCUUCAAUCUCCUCAAGGCCUCGCGCCUUCCUCCGCCACAGCAACCCCGGCCCCAUCACCAGCUCCGGCGCCGUCUCGUACACACCUCGCCGCGCCCUCUCCCUCACGCCCGCCUUGGAUCCGCACCCCCUCGAGAUUCCCGCUGAGAUCAGGCCAGCCUUGGAUCCGCACCCCCUCGAGAUUCCCGCUGAGAUGAGGCAGGAACUCUCUAGGGUCGAGCUUGCCGGCAUCUCAUGCCACCGCAAGCUCGCCCAGGACGUCACCAAGCUCAGCGCGCGAGUCAGCAAGGAGAACAAUGACAUGAAGGUAAAGCCGGUGGAGGAUGUGAUACGCGUCGGGACGGUGGCCUGGCGCGUGUGCAGCUCUGUCCUGGCAGUCACCGUUGCCGCUGGUUUUGGGACGUACCAGAUCGCCAUUGACGGCUGGGAAACCGGCUUUCAAGAUGAAGCCUGUAAGGUCGCCAAGGAAAGGAUCGAGGAGAAGUCCAAAGGCCUCGAGGCCUCGCUCCUGGCAUCCGCGCAGCAAAACAAGGCCUUGGCUCUGCAGGAGAAGCAGCGGGUCGCCGACAGGGAGGCGGAGAUCGCGGCGAAAGAGGCUGAGCUGGCUGCGUGGGAGGCAGAUCUAGCAGCACAGGAGUAG